rnacentral:rRNA from 1 species
UUUCUUGGCCAUAUCACCCUGCAACUCACAACUGGCAGCCCACUGAAGCUAAGCAGGUGUGAGCCUGGUCAGUACCUGGAUGCGAGACCUCCUGGGAAAAACUAAGGUUACUGCUAUAA